rnacentral:rRNA from 1 species
AUUGAACGCUGGCGGCAGGCCUAACACAUGCAAGUCGAGCGGAUGAAGGGAGCUUGCUCCUGGAUUCAGCGGCGGACGGGUGAGUAAUGCCUAGGAAUCUGCCUGGUAGUGGGGGAUAACGUCCGGAAACGGGCGCUAAUACCGCAUACGUCCUGAGGGAGAAAGUGGGGGAUCUUCGGACCUCACGCUAUCAGAUGAGCCUAGGUCGGAUUAGCUAGUUGGUGGGGUAAAGGCCUACCAAGGCGACGAUCCGUAACUGGUCUGAGAGGAUGAUCAGUCACACUGGAACUGAGACACGGUCCAGACUUCUACGGGAGGCAGCCGUGGGGAAUAAUGGACAAUGGGCGGAAGCCUUGUCCAGGCAAGGCGGGUGGGUGAAGAAGGUCUUCCGAUUGGUAAACAACUUUAGGUGGGAGGAAGGGCAGUAAGUUUAUACCUUGCUGUUUUGACGGUACCAACAGAAUAAGCACCGGCUAACUUCGUU